AGAAGAGAACUUGAUGAUCCGAGUCCCUACCUUCUUGCGAUUUGGCAACCAGGUGAAACGUCUAACUCGUUCACUCAACCAAAAAAGAAGUGUGACUCUGACGGAUCAGAAUUAUGCAAGAAAAAGACUUGUUCUUAUUGUUGCACUAUACGUGAACAAAGUUCUAACACUUUUCGUGGAACAAUUUUGAUUCCAUGUAGAACAGCAAUGCGAGGGGGUUUCCCACUCAAUGGAACAUAUUUUCAGACUAAUGAGG